CUUAAAUCAUUAAAAUUCGUUAAUCUUAAUUAACCUAGAUGAGUAUUUAGAACUUUUUCUUAUUUUUGAGUUUGUAAAAAUUAAAUCUUUCAAGUAAGGUGAACGAUUUUGCUGUGUUUAAUUUAUACAAAAUGUCUCUUUAAAGUUUCAUUAACUCAAAAUCUUUCAGCCCAGUGAUUUUGCGUGUGACGUCAUCCAGGUUCACGUACGUUCUCGUGCUUCAUUCGUUUUUUCAAGAUGGCGGAUCGGCCUCGCUUCACACUACAAAUUGAAGGUCGGUUGUUGCUGACUACAGAAAGAUUCUUAUAUGGAGGCAUGUAAAAGCAAGGAAAGUGAAACUUCAGCUAGACCUUGAGUUCAGUUUACAAUAUGAAGAUCCUGAUAUCAACAUCUGAUCUGAUCAACACCUGAUUUUCAUCUGAGCUGCAGAGUACCAACAUGUUACAAAUGAGAAUUUUCCCCACAAAUUCUUUGGACAACCGCACCACCACCAAUUUCAUUUGAUGACAAUUUUAAGGCAAACAGCAUCCAAAACUGACAAGACAGCAGAUACCCUGGCUAAUCUUUUGAAGGUUUAUGAUGAGCAGUCUUUGCAGGAACUGCAUGAUGUCAGUUCAUGAUGGACUACUGUUAUCAGAGGUCUUUUGGUCUUGCUGCGUGAGCGUGACUGGGGAUUCUUUAGGACC